GAUCUUUUUUUUUUUUUUUUUUUUUAAGACUGGAAGAGGGACCUUGCAAAAUAGAAUUUAGCUUGAAGGAGAAAAUAAGAACAGGGUAAACAGAAUGCUUACAACAGAAAGACUGAUUUGCUGUUAACAUACUGGAGGGAAGAGUGAUUACUCUGGAGAAAUACUACUUCACAUUUGAAAUAUUUGACAUCAUGAAAACACGGACAAAAGGAGUCUUCUUAGCGAUUAUGCUAACCAAAAAGAUGAUGACUUAUUUUCACUGCAUUCCGGCAGAGAACUACCACCUUCUCCAUGGAGAGACUGGACUGUUGGACUCAAGAGUCAUAUUACUUCAUUCUUUUUUUCCUGGGACAUUCACAAAUGACAACAGAUGGAUUCAAAUUGGCUGCUUGGCCAAAGAAGGGAAGAGGAAUUUACUCGGAUUCACUCCACUUCUUGUACAAUCCCUCCCUGACUUACGAACCAAUUCAAUUAAGCAAACCUAAAUUAAGCACUUAUUACUACUUGCCCCCUACUUUAUGCAGGGCACAGUGUUAAGUGAGCUGUAGAUACAAAGAUGUGCAGUAAGAAGUUUCAGCCUACAAAGAGUUUGCUCUCUGGUGAAGAGUCAGGCCUAUAUACACAAACAACCAUGAUACGAAUGGCUAAGAGUAUUUACUUUUUCCUACAAUUACCUCAUCUAAAGAUAUAAACUCCAUGUCAUGUAUCAGGAAGGCAUCGCUUUGGCACAAGUAACUGAAAGUCUAAUUCAAAAAGGAAUUCACUGACUUACAGAAAGUCUAUAAUUAGAUUUUCAGUCUGCGCCUGGUCCAGAAUCUAGUUUCUUUCUCACCAUUUUUUGGUUCUACUUCCUCAGCUUAAAUUCAUCCUUGGGUAGUCUUUUUCAUUUGUGGUUCCAGGACAGCUACAAGUGUCUUUUGCAGCUGCAAACGUCCUUGUUCCUAUGUAGUAGGAAUGAAAGGUUAUGAAUGGCAGGUCCUUCAAAUCAGCCUCAGUGGCCAUGUUGGUUUGAUUUGGACCAUUAAUUCAUCCUUGAACCAGGUUGACUGUAGUCAGAGGUUUGGGAUUGGCCACUGCGCUUGGGACAACAAAUGAAAAAGGACCCUGUUCUGCAGCUGAAGGCAAGGUACCAUGCAAACUACAUGGAUGAAAAAUUUAAGGUCUUAUUUAGGAAGGGGACAGUAUGAGAAUGGAUUCCAGGGAAGUAAGUACAAAUACUCUCCCUACCCCAUGCUUUUGUCUUUAUUAAGCAUUUCUGAAAGACACCAGCACUCUUGUAGUUGUGCACAGUCAACUAUUUAACAGCUGGCUCUAUGGGAGAAAAAAGCUCUUUGUAGCAUUUGCUGAUUUCCAUGGUGUGAAUACACUCACCAUGCCUGGAUCACUGAAUACAGACAGAGUUAGGAAGAUGCGUGCAAUGACACACCAUUAUAUAGCAUUUCCAUUAUACAGAUACAUUAGAUACAGAUAACCCCAAGAGCAAAGAAAAUAGUAAUUUCAAAGUGAUGAGUUUUACAUAUGCAUUCCCUUUAUUUUAAUAUAAUUUAUUUAACUGCAAGUAUAAAUAACAUAAUUUUCAAUAAUGACUGUUUAACAACUGACUUGCAAAAUUCCUAAAAACCUAACAAUUAGUUCUCACGAGCCAGUACUAGUUACCUCCAGCACACCAUGGCCUUUUGCACUAAACACUUCAUCUUGUUCAUUUUUAAAAAGUUGUUUAUUUAUAAGGUCUUCAUAUGUGCACAAUCCCGUCUUGGGCUGAUCUACUAGAGUCAGAGUUAAGGUGGGCUUCUAAUGAUUGGCCUGAAGUAAAUGGAGCCAGAGGAAAUGUCCAAACCCAGAUAUACAGGACGGAGAACUUGGAGAAGUAAAAUCGAGAAGUACGAUCCGCUGAUAGGGACAAUAGUUGAGUUUUCAGUCCUAGGGCUGAAAACUAGAGAUGAAGUCAAAGGGCAGGAACUGGAUAAAAUUAAGAAUAAAGGAGGACCCCAGCAGCAGUGGCCGGAGUCAUAUGAGGGAAUUGAAGCUCACGGAGGUAUAUAACUUGCCCUUGGUCAUAAAACUGGCAAAUUGAGGAACUGAGAUUUUAACACAACUCUACCUGAUAGAGGACCCAAGCUCCUUACCACUGUGCUAUCCUUGCUUUGGGGACUGGAAUGAAGGAGUCCAAAGCUGCUUUAAAGUUAGUAUGGCUCUCCAAAAUCACUUUUACAUUAUUUUUGUUCUAAACUAUUUGCUUGCUCUUCAAGCAAACUUCACUGUAUGAUUUAGAGUAAGUAUUCGCUAUACAUUUGUAGAAUGAAUAAAAGCUGUUAUAAUCUGUUCUGAGUAUUGAAUGUCCAUAAUAUACCAAAGUUAUGUUAUGGGAAAAUACAACUGUUGAGAAAAGACUUGUAACGGGAACUUACUUUCAUAAAGAUGCAUGUAAAAGUCCAGAUAGUUUGGAUAACUCUCCAGGCUCCAACAGUGUUAUCCAUUACUGCUAUAUUAAAAUGUAUUAAAUACCACUUAAAGGGUAUUGACAGUCAACAAAUAAUAGACCACUUUGUGAUCAUCCUUAUUUUGAAUACAUAUUUUUUUCUGUUUGGCUAUUAUACCAAAGGCAAUGAGCAUAGAUUCUCAUGCUCAAAAGGGAGUGGGUUGGGCGAAGGAGAAGAGCAGAGUGAAAGGGAGAUCCACAUUCACCUGUCGGAGAACAUCCAUUUCUGGGAGUCCAGGUGGAAAGGUAGAAUUGAUUGGUUUAGAGAAAAGAGGCCUAUCAGGUAGAAUUAAUAUUGCUUCUUAUUAUUUUAAUUGAACCUUUCAAUAUAGGUCUAUCUCAAGAGUAUUAGCAAAGUAUGAAUGAUAUGUGAUAAAAGAAUAAAUUUCUUUCUUUAAUGGACAUCAAAUAAAGCAGAAUAUAAAUAACAUCCUUUAUGUGGUCCAUUUGCUACAGCAAGUAUUAGAAUAGAAUUGUCAGAAAUGUCCUGCCCAGGUCUUGCCUGACGGGGGCCAAGGGCUGAACCCCACAGAAUGUGACCUUAAGAGGCAAUAUAUUGGUCUUUGGAAGAGAAUUCUUGAAGAACUCUUUGGUCCUGGAAAUUCACAUUGAAAGCCAUCCCUUCCAGCUGCUGAAGUGACUAUGGAAGCGUGUAUUAAGGUGGAGCCUCUUUCAGCCUGUUUCUUCCAGUGAUGCAAUGAGCAGAAGCCACUGCCAAGCCAACUAGACAC